rnacentral:miRNA from 1 species
CUUCCUCCAACCUCAGUAUCA